UUGCUCUUCAACGAGGAAUUCCUAGUAGGCGCGAGUCAUCAGCUCGUGCCGACUACGUCCCUGCCCUUCGUACACACCGCCCGUCGCUACUACCGAUUGAAUGGCUAAGUGAGGCUUUCGGACUGGCUCAGGGAGGUCGGCAACGACCACCCAGAGCUGGAAAGUUGUCCAAACUUGGUCAUUUAGAGGAAGUAAAAGUCGUAACAAGGUUUCCGUAGGUGAACCUGCGGAAGGAUCAUUAAAGAGACGUUGCCCUUCGGGGUAUACCUCCCACCCUUUGUUUAUUAUACCUUUGUUGCUUUGGCAGACCCGGCUUCGGCCCACCGGCUCCGGCUGGUCAGUGUCUGCCAGAGGACCUAAAACUCUGUUUGUUAAUAUUGUCUGAGUACUAUAUAAUAGUUAAAACUUUCAACAACGGAUCUCUUGGUUCUGGCAUCGAUGAAGAACGCAGUGAAAUGCGAUAAGUAAUGUGAAUUGCAGAAUUCAGUGAAUCAUCGAAUCUUUGAACGCACAUUGCGCCCUCUGGUAUUCCGGGGGGCAUGCCUGUUCGAGCGUCAUUACAACCCUCAAGCCCCCGGGUUUGGUGUUGGGGAUCGGCUCUGCCCUUCUGGGCGGUGCCGCCCCCGAAAUACAUUGGCGGUCUCGCUGCAGCCUCCAUUGCGUAGUAGCUAACACCUCGCAACUGGAACGCGGCGCGGCCAUGCCGUAAAACCCCAACUUCUGAAUGUUGACCUCGGAUCAGGUAGGAAUACCCGCUGAACUUAAGCAUAUCAAUAAGCGGAGGA
rnacentral:rRNA from 1 species